UUUACUACACCCUUCCCCCCUCCUCCCUGUCAUCUACCUCGACCCACCCACCUCAGGCAGACUCUAAGGCAGACCUGUGUUUCUAUUCUUUGCCGCCCAAGGAGAAUCCACCAGACGGGCCACGGCAGACAAACAGCCCCCUCCCUGUGGAGAUGGUCGACGGCGGCGAGGCCUACCCUCCACCGUCAGUCAGCCGAGGUAACAGCCGGAGUAAGCAAGAGGAUUUUCAUUCAAGGGGUGUUAUUUCUAGAGGGAGGAGAUGUCCGAUUUAUUUAGUAGGAUCCAAGCAGCUAUAGUUAUCAAUCGAGUAGAGAACAGUGAACAGUCACCUGAAGAUUGGAACAGCGACUAUGAUGGAUCUGGUGGUUCAACAGGUUUGCCUGGUACGCCAUGCUUCAUGUCCAGGCUUUCUCUGCUCAAAGUUGGUUCGGUCAUAGGCCAAUUCAGAUUCAUAUGGUCAUUUGUUUAGGCUAAUGGGCUUCUUAUCACAGCUCUUCGUGCUAGAUAGUCUCGAUCUAGGCAUUCUAAACAUGUUGUGAGGUGUAACACCGCGGAUAGGUCUGUACAACUAUGACACAAUGAAGAAGAUGGUUGAAAAAAUUAUAGUCAGUGUUGGUGCUGUGAAGUUUCCUACCAUGGUGCAACAGUACCCUCCCCCCCCUCACAAGUGCUAAAAUAGUUUUUUUUUUGAAAUGCAAUCAUUUCCAUUCAUGACAUGCAAUGAACACAUUUGCAACUCAAUAGGUACGGACCGAGAUGUCAGUGAGCAAUCUAAUUGGCUUCCCUUAUAAGGAAACUUUCACAGCAAAGUCAGCAAAGCUAGCACCAAUGCCCAAGAGAGGAAACGCCACAUGCUCCCCGAUGUUGCGAAGUAGUUAUGCCAAAACCGGUCCGCAGAAGUUUUCGAAUUACAUAUGAACACGCUACCCAAGCAUAUCAGCAUAGAAGCUUGGUAUACUUCUACGAGAGCAGAACGCCUGCGGCCUAGCAAACAUAUCAUAAAUGCGUCAAGCGUUCCAGUCCAAUAUGUUUAAUUUCACAGACAAGCUUAUGGCAUGCUUAGCAGAGAGUUGCACUUGUUGUAAGGCACAUGGGAACAAAAAAUGCAUAUUGGAUAAUGAAGGAACAAAUACUUGUGAUGAACCCCCUCAUGUAUCAACAAAUCAAACUCAAUUGAGCAUGCCGCUAGUCAGCAAGAUUGGACCCCGACUACCAACACCAGGCAACCCUGGAGGUUGCAUGUCUAUCAAUAGUUCCGUGUCUAGGAAAAGGGAUGGCAGUUUAUCAUCAAGCAUACAGUCGGGCACAGCAAAGAAAACAUGUUCACGCGAGACAGGGACCGCCCUCGCUGCAACACCAACAUGUGGGCAAGAACCACUCAAUAAUAUCCCCACAUCUCAGGAUGCAACCGUUAAGGAAAUUGCAAGCAAAAUUGUUGCUUUUUAUGAUGACCUUACAGCCAUCUUGGUUAAUUACUAUGCUGAGAUAUGUCCAGCCCCGGCUUCAUAUUGUUUGGAUCAACCAUCGAUGGAGCACCUAUGAAGAUCGAUCUACCUCAAUGCAACUUUGGAAGAGAUCCGUGGGUCGCUGGAUCAGUCCCAGUACCACCAAUCCCAACUGUACUCAGGGCCAUAAAAGACUGGAUGAGUGCAACCUCCAUGCUAAACCUCGAG